rnacentral:rRNA from 1 species
AUUGAACGCUGGCGGCAGGCCUAACACAUGCAAGUCGAGCGGAUGAAGGGAGCUUGCUCCUGGAUUCAGCGGCGGACGGGUGAGUAAUGCCUAGGAAUCUGCCUGGUAGUGGGGGAUAACGUCCGGAAACGGGCGCUAAUACCGCAUACGUCCUGAGGGAGAAAGUGGGGGAUCUUCGGACCUCACGCUAUCAGAUGAGCCUAGGUCGGAUUAGCUAGUUGGUGGGGUAAAGGCCUACCAAGGCGACGAUCCGUAACUGGUCUGAGAGGAUGAUCAGUCACACUGGAACUGAUACACGGUCCAGACUCCUACGGGAGGCAGCAGUGGGGAAUAUUGGACAAUGGGCGAAAGCCUGAUCCAGCCAUGCCGCGUGUGUGAAGAAGGUCUUCGGAUUGUAAAGCACUUUAAGUUGGGAGGAAGGGCAGUAAGUUAAUACCUUGCUGUUUUGACGUUACCAACAGAAUAAGCACCGGCUAGCUUCGUG